GCUGGGCAUGGUGGCGCAUGCCUGUAAUCCCAGCUACUCCGGAGGCUGAGGCAGGAGAAUCACUUGAACCCAGGAAGCUGAGGUGGCAGUGAGCUGAGAUUGUGCCAUCGCACUCCAGCCUGGGCAACAGAGUGAGACUCCAUCUCAA
rnacentral:SRP_RNA from 1 species